rnacentral:misc_RNA from 1 species
AUCUGGAAGUCUUGCCAAGACAUCCAGAAGAUACCAUCUUUUGACUGUGGAACAUGCUUCAGUUUGUGUUUCAUUCUAUCAGUCCAUUCAGGUGAUGAAUCGGACCAAGGACCAUUCCACUCCACUUCGUUAGCCCAUGGAUUGCGAAUUUGAACAAGCUUAUGUCCAUCCACCUCUCUAACUUGCAGCAAAGAGUAAGCAUGGCCUUGGACAAUGCCACUAGAAGAAAUGUGCACAUCAGAACCAGAUGGACUCCCAGCACCAAGUAGAAAGCCCUCUUGUUUAAAACGUAGCAAUUGAGACCAUAGUCUGCCACUAGCAAGAUCAAUCUGGGCCUGGGCACUC